rnacentral:rRNA from 1 species
GACGAACGCUGGCGGCGUGCUUAACACAUGCAAGUCGAACGGAAAGGCCCUGCGUGUGUGCGGUGCUCGAGUGGCGAACGGGUGAGUAACACGUGUGUAACCUGCCCUUCACUUUGGGAUAACUUCAGGAAACUGGGGCUACUACCGUAUAGGAUAUCCCCCUGCAGUGUGGGGGGUGGAAAGUUUCGGCGGUUGGGGAUGGACUCGCGGCUUAUCAGCUUGCUGGUGGGGUAGUGGCUUACCAAGGCUUUGACGGGUAGCCGGCCUGAGAGGGUGACCGGCCACAUUGGGACUGAGAUACGGCCCAGACUCCUACGGGAGGCAGAAGUGGGGAAUAUUGCACAAUGGGCGGAAGCCUGAUGCAGCAACGCCGCGUGCGGGAUGACGGCCUUCGGGUUGUAAACCGCUUUCGCCUGUGACGAAGCGUGAGUGACGGUAAUGGGUAAAGAAGCACCGGCUAACUACGUG